rnacentral:rRNA from 1 species
GACGAACGCUGGCGGCGUGCUUAACACAUGCAAGUCGAACGGUGAAGCGCCUUCCUUUUUGGUGGGUGUGGAUGAGUGGCGAACGGGUGAGUAACACGUGAGUAACCUGCCCCCUUCUUCUGGAUAACCGCAUGAAAGUGUGGCUAAUACGGGAUAUUCUGGGUCUGUCGCAUGAUGGGUCUGGGAAAGAUAUUGUUUCGGUGGGGGAUGGGCUCGCGGCCUAUCAGCUUGUUGGUGGGGUGAUGGCCUACCAAGGCGGUGACGGGUUGCCGGCCUGAGAGGGUGGACGGUCACACUGGGACUGAGACACGGCCCAGACUCCUACGGGAGGCAGCAGUGGGGAAUAGUGCACAAUGGGCGCAAGCCUGAUGCAGCGACGCCGCGUGAGGGAUGGAGGCCUUCGGGUUGUGAACCUCUUUCGCCAGUGAAGCAGGCCUGCCUCGUUUGUGGGUGGGUUGACGGUAGCUGGAGAAGAAGCGCCGGCUAACUACGUG